rnacentral:rRNA from 1 species
AUUGAACGCUGGCGGCAUGCCUUACACAUGCAAGUCGAACGGCAGCAUGGGUGCUUGCACCUGAUGGCGAGUGGCGAACGGGUGAGUAGUGCAUCGGAACGUACCCGGAAGUGGGGGAUAACGUAGCGAAAGUUACGCUAAUACCGCAUAUUCUGUGAGCAGGAGAGAGGGGGAUCACAAGACCUCUCGCUUUCGGAGCGGCCGAUGUCGGAUUAGCUAGUUGGCGGGGUAAAGGCCCACCAAGGCAACGAUCCGUAGCGGGUCUGAGAGGAUGAUCCGCCACACUGGGACUGAGACACGGCCCAGACUCCUACGGGAGGCAGCAGUGGGGAAUUUUGGACAAUGGGGGCAACCCUGAUCCAGCCAUGCCGCGUGAGUGAAGAAGGCCUUCGGGUUGUAAAGCUCUUUCGGCUGGGAAGAAAUCGCAUCUCCUAAUACGGGGUGUGGAUGACGGUACCAGCAUAAGAAGCACCGGCUAACUACGUGCCAGCCGCCGCCGUAA